rnacentral:rRNA from 1 species
UACAGAGGUCUCAAGCGUUGUUCGGAUUCAUUGGGCGUAAAGGGUGUGUAGGUGGCGCGCUAAGUCGGGUGUGAAAUUUCGGAGCUUAACUCCGAAACUGCAUUCGAUACUGGCGUGCUUGAGGACUGGAGAGGAGACUGGAAUUUACGGUGUAGCAGUGAAAUGCGUAGAUAUCGUAAGGAAGACCAGUGGCGAAGGCGGGUCUCUGGACAGUUCCUGACGCUGAGGCACGAAGGUCAGGGAGCAAACGGG